GUUAAGCACUUAAGGUGCGGAGCCGUAGCGAAAGCGAGUUUUAACUGAGCGUUCAGUUACUUGACGUAGACCCGAAACCGGGCGACCUACCCAUGAGCAGGACGAAGCGAAAGUAAAAUUUCGUGGAGGUCCGAACCCACGAGCGUUGAAAAGCUCGGGGAUGACUUGUGGGUAGCGGUGAAAUUCCAAUCGAGCCCGGAGAUA
rnacentral:rRNA from 1 species